rnacentral:rRNA from 1 species
UAAUGGCCUACCAAGGCGUCGACGGGUAGCCGGCCUGGGAGGGUGUACGGCCACAUUGGGACUGAGAUACGGCCCAGACUCCUACGGGAGGCAGCAGUGGGGAAUAUUGCACAAUGGGCGCAAGCCUGAUGCAGCGACGCCGCGUGGGGGAUGACGGCCUUCGGGUUGUAAACUCCUUUCGCUAGGGACGAAGAGUAAUUGACGGUACCUGGAGAAGAAGCACCGGCUAACUACGUGCCAGCUGCCGCGGUAAUACGUAGGGUGCGAGCGUUGUCCGGAAAUACUGGGCGUAAAGAGCUCGUAGGAGGUUUGUCGCGUCGUUUGUGUAAGUCCGCAGCUUAACUGCGGGACUGCAGGCGAUACGGGCAUAACUAGAGUGCUGUAGGGGAGACUGGAAUUCCUGGUGUAGCGGUGGAAUGCGCAGAUGUCAGGAGGAACACCGAUGGCGAAGGCAGGUCUCUGGGCAGUAACUGACGCUGAGGAGCGAAAGCAUGGGGAGCGAACAGGAUUAGAUACCCUGGUACUCCAUGCCGUAAACGGUGGGCGCUAGGUGUGAGUCCCUUCCACGGGGUUCGUGCCGUAGCUAACGCAUUAAGCGCCCCGCCUGG